UACGUAGGGCGCAAGCGUUAUCCGGAAUUACUGGGCGUAAAGCGCACGUAGGCGGCUUUCUAAGUCGGGGGUGAAAGCCUGUGGCUCAACCACAGAAUUGCCUUCGAUACUGUAGAGCUUGAGACCGGAAGAGGUUAGUGGAACUGCGAGUGUAGAGGUGAAAUUCGUAGAUAUUCGCAAGAACACCAGUGGCGAAGGCGGCUGACUGGUCCGGUUCUGACGCUGAGGCGCGAAAGCGUGGGGAGCAAACAGG
rnacentral:rRNA from 1 species